rnacentral:rRNA from 1 species
GUCCACGCCCUAAACGAUGGGUACUAGACGUCGGGAAGCUUGUCUUCUUGGUGUCGCAGCUAACGCAAUAAGUACCCCGCCUGGGGAGUACGGUCGCAAGAUUAAAACUCAAAGGAAUUGACGGGGCCCGCACAAGCGGUGGAGCAUGUGGUUCAAUUCGAUGCAACGCGAAAAACCUUACCUGCCCCUUGACAUCUGGGGAAUCCUGCAGAGAUGCGGGAGUGCCGCAAGGACCCCAAGACAGGUGCUGCAUGGCUGUCGU